rnacentral:rRNA from 1 species
GACGAACGCUGGCGGCGUGCUUAACACAUGCCAGUCGAACGGAAAGGCCCUGCUUUUGUGGGGUGCUCGAGUGGCGAACGGGUGAGUAACACGUGAGUAACCUGCCCUUGACUUUGGGAUAACUUCAGGAAACUGGGGCUAAUACCGGAUAGGAGCUCCUGCUGCAUGGUGGGGGUUGGAAAGUUUCGGCGGUUGGGGAUGGACGCGCGGCUUAUCAGCUUGUUGGUGGGGUAGUGGCUUACCAAGGCUUUGACGGGUAGCCGGCCUGAGAGGGUGACCGGCCACAUUGGGACUGAGAUACGGCCCAGACUCCUACGGGAGGCAGCAGUGGGGAAUAUUGCACAAUGGGCGGAAGCCUGAUGCAGCAACGCCGCGUGCGGGAUGACGGCCUUCGGGUUGUAAACCGCUUUCGCCUGUGACGAAGCGUGAGUGACGGUAAUGGGUAAAGAAGCACCGGCUAACUACGUG